rnacentral:lncRNA from 1 species
CAAAGGUCCGAGUCCUCCUAAAUCUAAUAGGACGAGACCAACGGCAACGCCCAAGGAGCAGAGGAGAGUCUCUCCACUCCCUUGGCAGAGACCUCAACCUCUCCAAACGGCAACGCCCAAGGAGCAGAGGAGAGUCUCUCCACUGCCUUGGCAGAGACCUCAACCUCUCCAAACGGCAACGCUCGAGGAGCAGAGGAGAGUCUCUCCACUGCCUUGGCAGAGACCUCAACCUCUCCAAACGGGAUUUAGAGACGACCAACGGUCCACGAUUAUAUGCUCUCAAGAGGUAACAAACACACACUAGCACCCUCUCCAGUUCAGC